GAUGAAGAACGCAGCGAAAUGCGAUACGUAAUGUGAAUUGCAGAAUUCAGUGAAUCAUCGAAUCUUUGAACGCAUAUUGCGCUCUCUGGUAUUCCGGAGAGCAUGCUUGUUUGAGUAUCAGUAAACACCUCAACUUCCAUAUCUUUUUUGAAAUGGGAGUUGGACUUGAGUGAUCCCAACGCUUUUCCUCACCGAAAAGUGGCGGGUUACUUGAAAUGCAGGUGCAGCUGGACUUUUCUCUGAGCUAUAAGCAUAUCUAUUUAGUCUGCCUAAAAAACAGAUUAUUACCUUUGCUGCAGCUAACAUAAAGGAGAUUAGUUCUUGUGCUGACUGAUGCAGGAUUCACAAAGACGGCUUCGGCCGACUUUGUAAACUCGAUCUCAAAUCAAGUAAGACUACCCGCUGAACUUAAGUAUAUCAAUAAGCGGAGGA
rnacentral:misc_RNA from 1 species